rnacentral:tRNA from 1 species
GCGGAAGUGGCGGAACUGGUAGACGCGCAGGAUUUAGGUUCCUGUCCCACACGGGGUGGGGGUUCGAGUCCCCCCUUCCGCACCA